UAUUUCCAUGCCCUGCUUCCCUCAACAUCCAGAGCUGGAAACACCUCCAUCCUGCCUCUUCAUGCCAUGGCCUCCCUGCUCUUCUUCUGUGGGGCCUUUUGUCUCCUGGGAACAGGGUCCAUGGAUGCUGAUGUUACCCAGACCCCAAGGAAUAGAAUCACAAAGACAGGAAAGAGGAUUAUGCUGGAAUGUUCUCAGACUAAGGGUCAUGAUAGAAUGUACUGGUAUCGACAAGACCCAGGACUGGGCCUACGGUUGAUCUAUUACUCCUUUGAUGUCAAAGAUAUAAACAAAGGAGAGAUCUCUGAUGGAUACAGUGUCUCUCGACAGGCACAGGCUAAAUUCUCCCUGUCCCUAGAGUCUGCCACCCCCAACCAGACAGCUCUUUACUUCUGUGCCACCAGUGAUUUGCACAGUGCUUCUUGGCCACCUGCUCUCUACACAGAAAGACAGACACAUGGGCCUCAUGGAAGCUGACAUCUACCAGACCCCAAGAUACCUUGUUAUAGGGACAGGAAAGAAGAUCACUCUGGAAUGUUCUCAAACCAUGGGCCAUGACAAAAUGUACUGGUAUCAACAAGAUCCAGGAAUGGAACUACACCUCAUCCACUAUUCCUAUGGAGUUAAUUCCACAGAGAAGGGAGGUCUUUCCUCUGAGUCAACAGUCUCCAGAAUAAGGACGGAGCAUUUUCCCCUGACCCUGGAGUCUGCCAGGCCCUCACAUACCUCUCAGUACCUCUGCGCCAGCAGUGAAUACACAGUGCUACAUGGAUACCGACACUCCACACAGAAAGGGUCGCCUCUAAUGUGAGGACAUCUUGCCUCCAGAAACCUCAUCUUAAACUACAGAAACCCCUACAAAUCUUCCCAGACUCCUCAGCCUUGAGGGACCAGUGUGCUUUAAGUAACAGUCUGGACUAAAGACUAUCUCUGGCUCAGUCUCUAACAAGCUGAGAAAUGACCCAGCCCCACAGUCACCCUAGCUGACUUCUUCCUUGCAUCUAGUUGUUGUUGUUCAAUUGAGCUUGCACCAAUUUUAUCCUUCAAGAUAAAUAUGAUAAUAUUUGAGUUACCUUAUGGCUAGCUGAAGAAAGUCUUUGUCAGCUAAGAAACAGGAAAAGGAUCCUUUGACUUUCUGCACAGGCUGUCUUUAUCUCUGGUUCAUGGUUCCUUCCUCAUGUUAAACUUGUUCCUUCAUACACAGCCACACAAAGUCCCUGCCCUUUCCUGACCCCAGUCCUGCACCUGACGGCUUCAGUUCCUCAAUCUAUGACUUUGAACUUAGAAUAAAAUUUUCACUUGAAAUAAGUGAUUAAUGAUUAUUUUCACUAAUAUCCCUCUAAAUAAAUGUAAUUUUAGCUAUAUCUGCAUGAGGCCUAAGGAAAAGAAAAGGCUCCAACUUUGGCAAAGAAUAGUCUUUAACAAUGUCCCUGGAUUCAGCCCUAAAUCUCUUUGGAGACUACCCUUAGCAUUGGAAGACUAUCCCACGGCUAGGUGAUUCUUCUAUCUUGGAUAUGCUGAAUCUCAGGGAAGUGUUCUCUAUCCACAUGAGAUCAGACCUGGGACCCUGAAUAGAUUUAUUUUUCACAGAAGUAUAGACUGCUGUGGGGCCCUGGGUGCUGAGCUCAGAUGUGAAAUCUCUGUUUUGAGGUUACCAAAAAGUAAAGUCACAGAGUCUCUGUCCUGGUUUUGCCUCCUUAAAAAGUAGCUUUAAUAUGUUAGAAAAGAAUCUAGAAAACAUCAUACAUAUUUUAUUGUAAAAGUCAUUUCUCGUUCAUUCUUCUUUUCUGUUUGUUUUCUACAAUACUAGCCAUUCCUCACUCUUCUUUGUGGGCUCUUUCCAUUUCCAUUUUCCUUAUUUUGACUUUAUUUCUGGACUUUUUGUUCUUUUCCCCUUAACCUAUAUAUACAUCUUAGACAAUAUCAUCCAGUCUAUUACUUGAAGCAUAUGUCUCUUUAGUUUCAAACUUAUUCUCUAGCUGCCUACUAGAUAUUUCCACCUCUAUAUUUCAUAGGCUCCUCAACUCAACUUGUCCCCAACAGAGUUCAUCAUCCUCCCAAUAGUAUAUCCUCUUUUGGAGACACCAUCAUCUUGGGAGGCUCAUCUCCAACGGUCAGGUGUCCUUAGCAAACACCUAGAAGAUUAAAAACCCCUCCUUACUGAACUCUUAGCCUCAUGCCUUACCCUUCUGGCCUUCUUGCAAAAGUGAUAAGCAUCAGAGAGUUGGCCCUCUGUGUUCAUGAGUUCCACAUCCCUGGAUUCAACCAACCACAGAUCAAAAAUAUUUUUUUCAAAAAUCGUGUCUAUACUGAACACAUACAGACUUUUUUCGUUGUCUUAUUCUAAACAAUACAGUAUAACAACUAUUUACAUAACAUUGCAUUGUAUUUGGUACUAUGAAUUAUUUACAGAUGACUUAAAGUAUAUGGGAGUAUAUGCAUAGAUUAUAUGUAAAUACUAUACCAUUUUUUAUCAGGGACUUGGGCAUUUGUAGAUUUUGUUAUCCUUGGGAAGUCUUGGAACCAAUUCCCCAAGACACUGAGGGAUAACUGUAGACAAAUAUGAUCAUGCUACUGGAUCCCUUCACCAUUUCUCCAUGCUUCUCCCUCAUAUUCAAGAUAAAAUUUAAAUUUCUUCACCUGG